rnacentral:rRNA from 1 species
AGAGUUUGAUCCUGGCUCAGGAUGAACGCCGGCGGUGUGCCUAAUACAUGCAAGUCGUACGCACUGGCCCAACUGAUUGAUGGUGCUUGCACCUGAUUGACGUUGGAUCACCAGUGAGUGGCGGACGGGUGAGUAACACGUAGGUAACCUGCCCCGGAGCGGGGGAUAACAUUUGGAAACAGAUGCUAAUACCGCAUAACAACAAAAGCCACAUGGCUUUUGUUUGAAAGAUGGCUUUGGCUAUCACUCUGGGAUGGACCUGCGGUGCAUUAGCUAGUUGGUAAGGUAACGGCUUACCAAGGCGAUGAUGCAUAGCCGAGUUGAGAGACUGAUCGGCCACAAUGGAACUGAGACACGGUCCAUACUCCUACGGGAGGCAGCAGUAGGGAAUCUUCCACAAUGGGCGCAAGCCUGAUGGAGCAACACCGCGUGAGUGAAGAAGGGUUUCGGCUCGUAAAGCUCUGUUGUUGGAGAAGAACGUGCGUGAGAGUAACUGUUCACGCAGUGACGGUAUCCAACCAGAAAGUCACGGCUAACUACGUGCCAGCAGCCGCGGUAAUACGUAGGUGGCAAGCGUUAUCCGGAUUUAUUGGGCGUAAAGCGAGCGCAGGCGGUUGCUUAGGUCUGAUGUGAAAGCCUUCGGCUUAACCGAAGAAGUGCAUCGGAAACCGGGCGACUUGAGUGCAGAAGAGGACAGUGGAACUCCAUGUGUAGCGGUGGAAUGCGUAGAUAUAUGGAAGAACACCAGUGGCGAAGGCGGCUGUCUGGUCUGCAACUGACGCUGAGGCUCGAAAGCAUGGGUAGCGAACAGGAUUAGAUACCCUGGUAGUCCAUGCCGUAAACGAUGAGUGCUAGGUGUUGGAGGGUUUCCGCCCUUCAGUGCCGGAGCUAACGCAUUAAGCACUCCGCCUGGGGAGUACGACCGCAAGGUUGAAACUCAAAGGAAUUGACGGGGGCCCGCACAAGCGGUGGAGCAUGUGGUUUAAUUCGAAGCUACGCGAAGAACCUUACCAGGUCUUGACAUCUUGCGCUAACCUUAGAGAUAAGGCGUUCCCUUCGGGGACGCAAUGACAGGUGGUGCAUGGUCGUCGUCAGCUCGUGUCGUGAGAUGUUGGGUUAAGUCCCGCAACGAGCGCAACCCUUGUUACUAGUUGCCAGCAUUAAGUUGGGCACUCUAGUGAGACUGCCGGUGACAAACCGGAGGAAGGUGGGGACGACGUCAGAUCAUCAUGCCCCUUAUGACCUGGGCUACACACGUGCUACAAUGGACGGUACAACGAGUCGCAAGCUCGCGAGAGUAAGCUAAUCUCUUAAAGCCGUUCUCAGUUCGGACUGUAGGCUGCAACUCGCCUACACGAAGUCGGAAUCGCUAGUAAUCGCGGAUCAGCAUGCCGCGGUGAAUACGUUCCCGGGCCUUGCACUCACCGCCCGUCA